rnacentral:misc_RNA from 1 species
UUUUAGCCCCGAUAGAAACGGUUACCCCGGAGCAAGCGUUAGAGAGAUGCUGAGUAUAAGGAUUUAGCAUUGGAGAAGGCAGGAAGAAUGGGAGCGAGGAGUAUGAGUGGAUAGCGGGAAAAAGC